rnacentral:rRNA from 1 species
GACGAACGCUGGCGGCGUGCUUAACACAUGCAAGUCGAACGGAAAGGCCCUGCUUUUGUGGGGUGCUCGAGUGGCGAACGGGUGAGUAACACGUGAGUAACCUGCCCUUGACUUUGGGAUAACUUCAGGAAACUGGGGCUAAUACCGGAUAGGAGCUCCUGCUGCAUGGUGGGGGUUGGAAAGUUUCGGCGGUGGGGGAUGGUCGCGGGGUUUAUCAGCUUGUGGGGGGGGUAGUGGUUUACCAAGGCUUUGACGGGUAGCGGGCCUGAGGGGGUGACCGGCCACAUUGGGACUGAGACAGGGCCCAGACUCCUGCGGGAGAGAGCAGGGGGGAAUAUUGCACAAUGGGCGGAAGCCAGAUGCAGCAGCGCCGCGUGCGAGAUGACGGCCUUCGUGUUAUAAACCGCUUGCGCCUGUGACGGAGCGUGAGUGACGGUAAUUGGUAAAGAAGCACCGGCUAACUACGUG